rnacentral:rRNA from 1 species
AGAGAGAGACAUGCGCGCAUAUCAAUAAGCGGAGGAAAAGAAACUAACAAGGAUUCCCCUAGUAACGGCAAGUGAAGCGGGAAGAGCUCAAAUUUGAAAUCUUAAAGGGUUUCCCUUUACGAAUUGUAGUUUAAAGAAGUGUUUUCUGUUGAGGUUUUGGUAAAAGUUCUUUGGAAUAGGACAUCAUAGAGGGUGAGAAUCCCGUAUUUGACCUUUACUUUCAACUUUGUGAUACACUUUCAAAGAGUCGGAUUGUUUGGGAAUGCAGUCCAAAAUGGGUGGUAAAUUUCAUCUAAAGCUAAAUAUUGGCGAGAGACCGAUAGCGAACAAGUACCGUGAGGGAAAGAUGAAAAGAACUUUGAAAAGAGAGUUAAACAGUACGUGAAAUUGUCAAAAGGGAAGCGUUUGACACCAGUGUUGUUUUUCUGAAAAUCAAUUAAAGAACUGUUUAUGCUAAGUUGUUUAGACCUUAUCAGCUAACUGUUUAGUUUUGAGCUUUUCUUUAAUGCACUUUUCAGUUAACAAGUCAACAUCAAUUUCUUUUGCUGUAAAAAAGCUUGAGGAAGGUGGCUUGAGAUUCGUCUUAAGUGUUUAUAGCCUCUUGCCUAUGCAGUCGGAGAGAUUGAGGUCUGCAGCGUAGAUCCUUCGGGGCUAAAUGCAUUUGUGCUAAGUUAUAGCAUUUUAUAGACAACUUGUUGACUAUGAUUUGUCUUGUAGCUUACUCGCUUAUGUUAUUUUACCUACGCUUAGGAUGUUGAAGACUCUACAGAGAUA